rnacentral:ncRNA from 1 species
UGCUAGGGGAGCCUUUGGCUGAGAUGAAGCAAAACUUCAGACCCUUAAUACUUGAACCGGAUAAUACCGGCGUAAGGAAGCAAAGAUA